CUUAUGUUAAAUGCAUCAGUGCCCAAGCAAUCACCCCAUCAAUCACAUCUCAACAACGGCCAAACAGUGGGGGAAUGGAAAAGUUGGAGGUAGAACUUUCAUCUGCAUCACUGAUUGGCUCAGCAGAGGAGGAAUUCAGUUGCAGCUGGUGGUUCACACUUGGUAAAUGACCCUGAAUCGCACGCCUUGCUGCAUUUCCAGGCGCCUCCCGUUCCAAGCCUCACAACUUUGCCGAGUCCCCCAUAUAUACACAAAGUUCACAACACUACUGUAUCAACGAUGGUUUCAAAGUUUCAUGAUUCUAUUGCGAAAGAAGAACAAUAAUUUCAUUGUUGAAAUUACGAGUUUUCUGGCGCUCACAUUGCUUAGAAUC
rnacentral:lncRNA from 1 species